AGGGGUUGCACCGAAUUUCGAGUU
rnacentral:miRNA from 1 species